AUGAACGCUGGCGGCGUGCCUAAUACAUGCAAGUCGAGCGAACGGACGAGAAGCUUGCUUCUCUGAUGUUAGCGGCGGCCGGGUGAGUAACACGUGGAUAACCUACCUAUAAGACUGGGAUAACUUCGGGAAACCGGAGCUAAUACCGGAUGAUAUUUUGAACCGCAUGGUUCAAAAGUGAAAGACGGUCUUGCUGUCACUUAUAGAUGGAUCCGCGCUGCAUUAGCUAGUUGGUAAGGUAACGGCUUACCAAGGCAACGAUGCAUAGCCGACCUGAGAGGGUGAUCGGCCACACUGGAACUGAGACACGGUCCAGACUCCUACGGGAGGCAGCAGUAGGGAAUCUUCCGCAAUGGGCGAAAGCCUGACGGAGCAACGCCGCGUGAGUGAUGAAGGUCUUCGGAUCGUAAAACUCUGUUAUUAGGGAAGAACAUAUGUGUAAGUAACUGUGCACAUCUUGACGGUACCUAAUCAGAAAGCCACGGCUAACUACGUG
rnacentral:rRNA from 1 species